AGAGGAAAAUCCGUCGACUUUAAAAAUCGUGAGG
rnacentral:tRNA from 31 species